rnacentral:rRNA from 1 species
CACCAUAGGACUGGCCGUCCCAUAUGAAAAGAUUAUAUUAGAAUUGAAUGAAGCUUUGUUUAUAUAUUGAUAAUGACAGUAUAUAUAUCGUGUCUUGACUAAUUGCGUGCCAGCAGUCGCGGUAAUACGUAAGAGACUAGUGUUAUUCAUCUUAAUUAGGUUUAAAGGGUACCCAGACGGUCAAUAUAGCUUAUAAAAUGUUAGUACUUGACUAGAGUUUUAUGUAAGAGGGCAGUACUUGAGGAGGAGAGAUGAAAUUUCGUGAUACCAAAGGGACUCUGUAAAGGCGAAGGCAGCCCUCUAUGUAAAAACUGACGUUGAAGGACGAAGGCACAGAGAACAAACAGGAUUAGAUACCCAAGUAGUCUUUGCAGUAAAUGAUGAAUGCCAUAGGUUAGAUUGAUCAAUUAUAGUCUAGGGUUAGUCUAGCAAACUAAUGCCCUAUGAUAUAAUUCAAAAUAUCUGGUCUAUAAAUGAAAGUGUAAGCAUUUCACCUCAAGAGUAAUGUGGCAACGCAGGAAC